rnacentral:rRNA from 28 species
AGACUCUCGGCAACGGAUAUCUCGGCUCUUGCAUCGAUGAAGAACGUAGCGAAAUGCGAUACUUGGUGUGAAUUGCAGAAUCCCGUGAACCAUCGAGUCUUUGAACGCAAGUUGCGCCCGAAGCCAUUAGGCCGAGGGCACGCCUGCCUGGGUGUUGCACA